rnacentral:pre_miRNA from 1 species
AGGAGGAACAACCACAGUGGUGGCGGCCAGCUCUGGAGCCCUGGAUUCAGCUCCUGCAGUAACUAAGGAUCUCUCCGUCUGCAGGGGCCUGGAUGCUCCGCGUGUGG